UGAAGGCAGUGAGGUGACUGCUGGCGGGGCCGUAGCGGGAAAGGGUUGGGUUAGCAGGCCGUAGCGUGAGUUGAAUUUUGAGUUCAAAUUUUGUGUUUAGAUACAAAACAUGAUGCUUUAUGUUAAAAAAUUAUACUAAGAAUUAUUCAUGGUUAUUUUCAUAGAUUAGAAAUAUUUAAUACAAAACUAUAUGAAAAGUAAUUAUGAAAAAUUUCUAAUGUAUUUUCCUAACGUAGAGCAUCAUGUUAUAAGUGAACUAAAAAAAUCUGAAAUUAAAACUCAAUUUGUUGGCGAAGGAACAAAAAGGCGAAAUCUAAUUACGGGGUGGAUUGGAGCAAAUGAAAUAACUCGGGGGAGUAAAGUGAGCCUAAAUUUUGCUUAGGAGUUAAGUGGCACAGUAAAUAGGUGAGGGGAGUAAACGGAAUUCUUCUUAUAAUAGCCAUCCCUUCCAAGUUCCAACACCUCACUUCACAUCCCUAGGCGCA
rnacentral:lncRNA from 1 species